rnacentral:rRNA from 1 species
UACGGAGGGUGCAAGCGUUACUCGGAAUCACUGGGCGUAAAGAGCGUGUAGGCGGGUAUAUAAGUCAGAAGUGAAAUCCAAUAGCUCAACUAUUGAACUGCUUUUGAAACUGUAUACCUAGAAUGUGGGAGAGGUAGAUGGAAUUUCUGGUGUAGGGGUAAAAUCCGUAGAGAUCAGAAGGAAUACCGAUUGCGAAGGCGAUCUACUGGAACAUUAUUGACGCUGAGACGCGAAAGCGUGGGGAGCAAACAGGAUUAGAUACCCUGGUAGUCCACGCCCUAAACGAUGUACACUAGUUGUUGUGAGGCUCGACCUUGCAGUAAUGCAGUUAACACAUUAAGUGUACCGCCUGGGGAGUACGGUCGCAAGAUUAAAACUCAAAGGAAUAGACGGGGACCCGCACAAGCGGUGGAGCAUGUGGUUUAAUUCGACGAUACACGAAGAACCUUACCUGGACUUGACAUAGUAAGAACUUUCUAGAGAUAGAUUGGUGUCUGCUUGCAGAAACUUAUAUACAGGUGCUGCACGGCUGUCGUCAGCUCGUGUCGUGAGAUGUUGGGUUAAGUCCCGCAACGAGCGAAACCCUCGUCCUUAGUUGCUAACAGUUCGGCUGAGAACUCUAAGGAGACUGCCUACGCAAGUAGGAGGAAGGUGAGGACGACGUCAAGUCAUCAUGGCCCUUACGUCCAGGGCUACACACGUGCUACAAUGGGGUAUACAAAGAGCAGCAAUACGGUGACGUGGAGCAAAUCUCAAAAAUAUCUCCCAGUUCGGAUUGUAGUCUGCAACUCGACUACAUGAAGUUGGAAUCGCUAGUAAUCGUAGAUCAGCUAUGCUACGGUGAAUACGUUCCCGGGUCU